UACGUAGGGUGCAAGCGUUGUCCGGAAUUAUUGGGCGUAAAGAGCUCGUAGGCGGUUUGUCGCGUCGGCUGUGAAAGCCCGGAGCUCAACUCCGGGUCUGCAGUCGAUACGGGCAGACUUGAGUGUUGUACGGGGAGACUGGAAUUCCUGGUGGUAGCGGUGAAAUGCGCAGAUAUCAGGAAGAACACCCGUGGCUAAGGCGGCUCUCUAGUACGGUACUGACGCUGAGACGCGAAAGCGUGGGGAGCGAACAGG
rnacentral:rRNA from 1 species